rnacentral:rRNA from 1 species
CCUACGGGAGGCAGCAGUAGGGAAUAUUGCUCAAUGGGGGAAACCCUGAAGCAGCAACGCCGCGUGGAGGAUGAAGGUUUUCGGAUUGUAAAGUUCUUUUGUUAGAGAAGAAAAAGGAGGGAUCUAACCAAUAAGGACCGGCUAAAUUCGUGCCAGCAGGCGGGGUAAUACGGAGGGGGGCAGGGUUAAUCGGGAUUACUGGGCGUAAAGGGAGCGUAGGCGGGUUGGCAAGUCAGAUGUGAAAUCCUAUGGCUUAACCGUAGAACUGCAUUUGAAACUGUUAUUCUUGAGUACAGGAGAGGCAGGUGGAAUUCGUGGUGUAGCGGUGAAAUGCGUAGAGAUCAGGAGGAACACCAAUUGCGAAGGCGGCCUGCUAGACUGUAACUGACGUUGAUGCUCGAAAGCGUGGGGAGCAAACAGGAUUAGAUACCCUUGUAGUC